rnacentral:tRNA from 1 species
GGUAGCGUGGCCGAGCGGUCUAAGGCGCUGGAUUUAGGCUCCAGUCUCUUUGGAGCCGUGGGUUCAAAUCCCACCGCUGCCA